rnacentral:rRNA from 1 species
UACGUAGGUGGCAAGCGUUGUCCGGAUUUACUGGGCGUAAAGAGCGCGCAGGCGGUCGUUCAAGUCGCGUGUGAAAGCCCCCGGCUCAACUGGGGAGGGUCAGCGCGAUACUGAUCGACUCGAAGGCAGGAGAGGGUAGUGGAAUUCCCGGUGUAGUGGUGAAAUGCGUAGAUAUCGGGAGGAACACCAGUGGCGAAGGCGACUACCUGGCCUGUUUCUUGACGCUGAGGCGCGAAAGCUAGGGGAGCAAACGGG